UUUUUUUUUUUUGGUUUGUUUCUGUUGUUGUUUUUAGCAAUUCUUUGGUCCCAGGCAUUCUGUGAAGCACUUUACAUGUUUUGGAUUCUCAGAGAAAUUCUUUCAGGUCAGUACUAUUAUAAUCCCAUUCUACAGAUGGGAAAACUGAGGUUCAGAAGGAUUCAAUAUCUUGUCCAAAGGCACAGAGCCAGUAGGUAGCAGGGUAGAGGUUCUGACUCUUCCAAAAGUCCUGACUAUCCUACAGUAGACCAGAUCCCAGAGGGAGAAAAAUCCUCAGUUGGAGAUUUCAACUCAUUCAGGCACAAAGGUAUCUAAAUAGUACAGGGCGGUGAGAUGAUGAAACGCCAGAGGAGAGGCUGGUAAUCACAGUGACAGCAGUUCUGGGCUGGGAGGGGCUUCUUAGAAGGUGGGGGUCUAGUUGCACUAGACCUUGGGGAGGGAGAUGGAGGCGGGUAUACAGAAGGCAGGCAGCAGAGGCACACAGGACUUGGCCAGGUAUAGGCAGGGUUCAGCAAGAGGCCAGCUGGCUGAGCCCAAGGCAUGUUUUGGAAGCAAAAGGAGGAAUAUCUGGUUGGGACAGCGUCUUGCUGGGCUGGGCUGUCAUUAGUUUCCAGAAUGAUAAACUGCUCGGCCUGACCAAGGUGAUUUCUAGCCUUGGUGCAUCACUGCUUAGAGGAUUCCUACACAGCCUGUGCUGGGUCUCGUCAGCACUGCUCGAAGGUGUGCACCUAUCGUUGGAAAGAAAGAAGGUUUCUGCAGAGUCAGUGGCAUGACCUAUCUUGCCCAGUGAGGGGUAGUGGUGGGAAUAAAUGAUUAUAUUUGUUUCUAUGUGUUUUUCUAUAAUUCCCAAACUUUUGCCAUUAGAAACAAACAAUACUUUCUCUUGGAAAAAAAAAAAAAGAAAAGAAAACUCGCCAGAGAACAAUGUGAGCUAAUGGCAGCCAUCUACUUGAGAUCCAAGAAUAAAAGAUUUUGGGAAGUUCUCAUUGUAGCUCAGUGGGUUAAGAAUCCGACUAGUAUCCAUGAGGAUGUGGGUUCAAUCCCUGACCUUGCUCAGUGGUCGGAUUCGCUAACCACUGAGCCACGACAGGAACUCCACGUUUUCCUACUUGAUGCUCACACCACCCAAGAGCACAGGAACCGUCAUUACACAGGUGGAGAAACAGAGGAUCAGAGAGAAUUGAGAGCCUCACAAUCAGGGUCAGUCAUUCAGGCCCUAGUGGGCUGGCUCUGGGUCACCUGCCCGUAUCCCCCACUUUCCAGAUGAGGCACGUUCCUGAAUGACACCCAUCCUUUGAAGAACCACAUCCCUGUCUAGGAAAGAAGAGUCAGGAGCCCCACUGCUAAAAUCAGUUUAGUUUCCUGUGGCACCGAACCUGACUUUGCUCGGUCCCUGGGAGGCAGGGCUGCCGGAAAACACAAAGGACACCCGGCUAAAUGGCCCAGGCAAAGUGUCCCCUACUUGUACUGAAAAAUGAUUCAUUGUCUACCUUCAAUUCAAAUUUAAUCGGCUGGCCAUUAUUUGUAUUUGCCACAUUCAAAGCCCUACUGUCAGAGCAAGGAGGAGAUGAGCUGUCCCCUCUGUCCCAAGGAGCUGGGCUCAUCCGAGAGACAGUUUGCAUUGCUUCAUCUGAGCUCUUGUUCGCUUACCCAGGGAGCUUGGACACUGCUGGGAGACCGAGGGAGUCACGGCCCCUGAUGAUUACUCAGGCUGUUUGGAGGGACUUUUCUGGAAGCUGUCUGGCGCAGGCACCACGGGCGAGAAGAGGUUGAGAGCAGAAAGCAGAAGCUAAUGGAGUUUAUGCUUCAGAGCUCUGCUCGGGUACAAGCCCCAUCCGAGACUCUAUUUCAUACUUGUAAAAGUUUGCUCUUUCUUUUCUCUCUUUUUAAAAAGACUUUAUUUUUCUAGAGCGGUUUUGGGUUUACAGUGACAUUGGGAGGGAGGUGUAGAGACUUCCCACAUACCCACUGCCUCGCCACAGGGGUAGCCCCCCCACCCCAUUCACACCACUCACCAAAGGGGUACAUUUGUGAGUAAGGAUAAAUCUACAUGGACCCAUCAUAAUCCCCCAAAGUCCACAGUUUACGUUCGGGUGCACUCUUGGUGUCGUACACCGUAUGGCUCUGGACAGACGAAUGGCGACAUGUAUUUGUCGUUAUAAUAUCCUGCACGGUACUUUCACUGUCCUAAAGAGUCUCUGUGCUUCACCUGUUCGCCACCUCCUUCCCUCAACCCCUGGCAACCACUUUUUAUUGUCUCCCUGGUUCUGCCUUUUCCAGAACCUCGUAUCUUUGGAAUCACACAGCAUGCAGCUCUUUCAGGUUGGCUUCUUUCACUGAGUCAUGUGCAUUUAAGGCGCAAGUCUUUGCAUGGCUCGAUAGCUCCGUUCUCUUUAGGGAUGAACAAUAUUCCAUUAUCUGGAUGUGGCACAGUUUAUUUACUCAUUCCCCUACUGAAGGACAUCUUGGUUGCCCACAAGUUUUGGUCAUUCUGAAUAAAGCUGCUACAGACCUUUGUGUGCAGAUUUUUUGGCGGACAUAAAUUUUCAACUCUUUUGGAUUGUAUGGUAAGAGUGGGUUUAGUUUUGUAGGAAAUUGUCAGACUGUCUUCCCAAGUGGCUGUACUGUUUCGCAUUCCCACGGGCAACAUCUGAGAGGUCCUGUUAUUCCACAUCCCCUCCAGGGCUUGGUGUUGUCUGUGUUUGAAUUGUGGCCAUUCUACUUGGUGUGCAGUGGUCUCUCCCUGUUGUUUUCAUUUGCAUUUUCCUGAUGACUUAGAAUGUGGAGCGUCUUUUCAGAUGCUUAUUUGUCAUCUGCAGAUCUUCUUUGCUGAGGGGUCUGUUAAGAUCUUUGGACCAUCUUUUCAUCCAGUUGUGUGUUUUCUUACAGUUGAGUUUUGAGAGUUCUUUGUAUAUUCGGGAUAACAGCCCUUUAUCAGAUGUGCGCUCUGCAAAUAUUUUCUCUUCAUCCGUGGCUUGUCUUCUAACUCUCCUAAUACUGUCUUUUGCAGAGGAGACAUUUUAGUGAAGUCCAGGUUAUCAGUUAUGUCUUUGAUGGUCAUGUCUUUGAUGUUGUAUCUAAAGCAGUAUCACCACGCUCAAGGUCAACCAAGUUUUCUCCUCUAUUAUCUUCUAAGAGUUUUAUAGCUUUGUGUUUUACAUUUAGGCCUAUGACCCAUUUUGAGUUAAUUUUUGUGAAGGGUGUAAGGUCUAUGUCUAGAUUCACUUUUUGGUAUAUGGAUGUCCAAUUUCCAGAACCAUUUGGUGAGAAGACUGUAUCUGCCCCAUUGUUUUUGCCUUUGCUCCUUUUUCAAGGAUCUGUUGACUGUAUUUACGUGGGUCUAUUUCUGGGCUCUCUAUUCUGUUCCAUUGAUCUGUCUGUCUAUUCUUUUGCCAAUACCACAGUGUCUUGAUUACUUUGUACCUUUAUAGCAAGUCUUAAAGUUGGGUAGUGUCAAUCAUCCAACUUUUUUUUUUUUUUCCUUCAAUAUUGUCUUGGUUAUUCUGGGUCCUUCGUCUCUUUAUAUUAAUUUCAGAGUCAAUUUGCCAAUAUCUGCAAAAUAACUUGCUGGGAUUUUGAUGGGGUUGCACUAAAUCUACAGAUCAAGUUGGGAAGAACAGACAUUUUUACAACAUUGAAAGUUCCUAUCCAUGAACAUUUAUUUAGCUUUUUUAUUUCAUCAGAGCUUUGUUGUUUUCCUCAUAUAGAUCCUGAACCUAUUUUGUGAGAUUUACACCUAAGUGUUUCAUUUAGGGGUGUACUGAUGUAAAAUGUGUUUUUAACUUCAAAUUUUACUUGAUUAUUGUUGCUAUAUAGGAAAGCAAUUGGCCUUUAUACAUUAACCUCGUGUCCUGCAAUCUGCUAUAUUGCUUAUUAAUUCCAGGAGGACUGCUCUUUCUUAAAGAGGGGCCACAACUUGAGAGGGACAUGCCUCCUUAGUUUGGGGAGACCACUGGUUGAUGCUGUUUAUCAAGCAUUUGCUACACGCCCAGCCAAGAAUACACUCAAUGCUCACACCAAUACCCUGAUCCCCAGUUAAUGCAGGAUUACCUCCCCAUCUCAACAGCCUUAACCUCACACCAAAACAGCCUACUUGGAGGUUUUUUACAACGGAGAUAACUGAGGUUUGGCAUGAUGGAGUAGCUCUCCCAACAUCACAUAGCUGAGAAGGGGCAGGGAAAGGAUUUGAACCUAGGUGGAGUGUCCUUGCUGUGAGGGCAAUGCUCAAGGCUCUGCUGCCCCUCACCUCCACCCCAGGGACUGUGGGAAGGGGUCUGUUCCCUGAGAGUCCCUGCUGGUCCGAGCAUUGCAAGAAGGGCCUGACUCCUCAGGGAGGGCUAGGGCGCUAGCAGCUAGGGCUAGAGCAGGAGGUGGCUCUAGCAGCACAAAUGAAAGCUACAGAAUUAUGCUCAACAACUAAAAAUAUCAGCAAGCACCAAUUUUGUUCCAAGCACGGUUGCUAAGAGACUUCACAAGCAUAAUUUCAUUUAACCCUUGCUGCAGGCCUGUGCG
rnacentral:lncRNA from 1 species